UCCGGGGCUUAGUGCCGGAGCUAACGCAAUAAGCACUCCGCCUGGGGAGUACGACCGCAAGGUUGAAACUCAAAGGAAUUGACGGGGGCCCGCACAAGCGGUGGAGCAUGUGGUUUAAUUCGAAGCAACGCGAAGAACCUUACCAGGUCUUGACAUCCCGAUGCUAUUCUUAGAGAUAGGAAGUUACUUCGGUACAUCGGAGACAGGUGGUGCAUGGUUGUCGUCAGCUCGUGUCGUGAGAUGUUGGGUUAAGUCCCGCAACGAGCGCAACCCUUAUUGUUAGUUGCCAUCAUUAAGUUGGGCACUCUAGCGAGACUGCCGGUAAUAAACCGGAGGAAGGUGGGGAUGACGUCAAAUCAUCAUGCCCCUUAUGACCUGGGCUACACACGUGCUACAAUGGUCGGUACAACGAGUUGCGAGCCGGUGACGGCAAGCUAAUCUCUGAAAGCCGAUCUCAGUUCGGAUUGGAGGCUGCAACUCGCCUCCAUGAAGUCGGAAUCGCUAGUAAUCGCGGAUCAGCACGCCGCGGUGAAUACGUUCCCGGGCCUUGUNCAC
rnacentral:rRNA from 1 species